CCCUUCGUUUCUACUUUUUCUAUCCCCGUCUCUGUCUCUGUCUCUGUCGCUCGCUUGCUCGAUCCCCUUUCGUAGGAGAAGAAAAAGUAGAAAUAAAACUAGAGAAGACUAGCUUUCUACUUGAAAUUAACUAACGCUACGGAGAUAUCGUCUAUUUCCGAAAAUUUCGAUCUUUGCCUCUUUUAAGGAUAGUAGCCCGGACUCGAAACGAUCCAACCAGCCAACUAGUAACGCGUAGAAUAAAGUUUGAAAAUCGGGCGGCGCCGUGAGUUCGCCGAUGCUCUGCCACUCUGUCCCGACAACGUAUCGAGGUUACGACAAACGUGGCGCUAUUCGUGGCGCUAUCCCGGAAAACUGGCAAAUAUACGAUGAUAUCGUGAGAAGAGAUCUUACACGAUACGAGAGGCUGUGUCCCUCGAAUCUUUUAUCUCGCGUCCAGGCGAUUAUUCUCUUAAACUUUUACCAAUGAAACUUUACGGCCAAAGUCAAAACAUUUUUCUCAAUACCGCGCUCUCAUUUUCUCCGCGUUGGCUUCGCUUUUUUAGUCCGCAAAGCGCGGUGGCGGCGCUAGCUUGUGCCUAUGAUUCAUAAAAAUAAACAAACAUCGACAGGAUUAUCAGGAUGCGGGGAUGAGACAUGGCUUCGCGAAGAAAAGUGUAUAGAAAUAUCGAUAAAUAUCGAUUUUUCUCUGAGAGGAAGUCGGUUGACGACAAUACGAACAGAAUCGGAAAAGUAAACAGCUCCUGAAAGAACGAGGCACGGUGAAUGAUACAAUACAGUACGAUAGAUACAAUACAAUUCGAAACGAUAUGAUACGAGUCGAUCAGAUUUGAAUCGACGAGGUUGCCAAUAAGCAAGUAGGUUAGAAGAAACUGCAAUGCGGAUUUUAAACGAAUCAGAAACCAGUUACGUGUGUAGUGUAAUAAUGAAAAAAGUAGUCCGGCAUGACAAGAUGCAAUGAUGUUUAUUGAAUAUGUAUUUUUUAUGUAUUCACGUAAAGAUACGUACACGUACAUACAAGUGUAAAGCGAGAAAGAGAAGCAAUAAAUGUAUGUAAGAAUGUUCGAUGUACAUACGUACAUAUAAGCAUUCAUAUAAAUGAAUAUAUAUAUAUGUGUUUACUAUCAAAAAAAGUUGUAUAAUACUGUACUUACAUCUUUUAAGUCCUGGAGAAGGAUUCCUAAUGCGUCUUCAUUGAUUAUGAACGAUGAAAUAAAUAGUUCCUAUAAAA